rnacentral:misc_RNA from 1 species
GCAAGGAGAAAGAAGAUUAGAAAGUCCAAAUCCUCUUUGGCUAUCCAAAGAAAUGAUGAUAAUAAUCACAAUAAUACAAUGAAAGAAAGAAGACAGAGAAGACCAAGAAUAAAGAGAGGGAGAGAAACAAAUAAAAGGGAAAGUUUAUUAAAAAUAAAUAAAUAAAUAAAAAUAAAAAUGAGAGAGAGGAGAGGAGGGGAGGGGAUUAAAGAUAUUUUCCUUCCAUUCUUAUCCUUGAUUUGGAAUAAGCAUAGAAGUUAACAAACUGCCAAAUAGAUCUCUUUACACUGCAUCAUCUCACUUUUCCUCUUGAACCUUGCCUUCAUAAAAUCUUGGCAAGAAUCAUCUGACAGCACCAAAUACACAAUGGCAAAAGACCGCCUGCAAAAGAGAUGCACCAAAGUGGCCCAAUCUUCUAAACACUUAGUGCCCUUCGUGGAUCAAGUUGUCCACUGCAGUAACUGGAGGGAACUACAGACAGCUCCUGCCUUCCUUUCCACUCUUCACCAGGUUUCAAAGUAAUGGGCUUUUCUACACAAGCAGCCUCUACACAAAGCAUAUGC